CUUUUUUGUAUUUUAUUUAGAGUGAAAGACCCACGGAUUCCCUGUCCAAGAAAGACGCACGAGGCACUGGCUGCAAACGCAAGAGGUUUAUUCAGACACAGACGCCUGUGGGUGCUCAGCGAAACCUCAGCCGGAGCUUUGGUGAACUGGCACACCGGGCGUUGGAGUACAGGUUUUUUAUAGGGUCAAGGGGCAGGUUUCGCGCGCGCGGUGAGCAACAGGUUUCUUAUUGGUGAUUUUGAACCCAACAUACAGGUUACCUAAAGGGUAAAGUUAUUUUUCAUUUUAUGUUCCUGGAAUUACACCAUAUGACAGUUACAUAUGAGCACUCUGAUUUUUCUAUUCCUGCUUAUUAGCCCCUGUUUAGUCAGGCAUGCCCUGGAAUCUAUUCUUCUGCUCUUUCCCAACCAUCCUGUUUUUUUUUUUUUUUUUUUUCCUUUUAAUCGGUUACACUUAACUGAUUUCAAAAACACUUCUGGUGCCUGCGCAGGUUUGUGACAUGGCCUGGUUAUUCUGUAACUAAGCCUCGGGGUUACUGGGCUAGGGUCUUUCAAGAGAC
rnacentral:lncRNA from 1 species